CCGCUGUGCCAGGCCUGGGCCUGCUUGUCUGCAGAUCGAUUCCUUGCCCUCCUGCGGCUCUGCUCUGCAUCUGAUGGUGGGGGCGGCUCCUCCCGCAGGCUGCCCUUCCAGGACUCCUGUGACACAGCUGGUACCAAUGGCAGGCUCCUCUCAGCAAGGAUCUGAGUCUUCGAUGGCUACCACGCCUAGGGGCGUUGGCUCAGUGGGAGAUGCUCGGCCAUAUUCAGUUAUGCAGCAGACCCCAUUCACUGACUGUAAAGAACAUUCUGGACUUCUUUCUCUGCUAAUAAAAGUGCAAUGAGUCCUCUGCUGAGGAGGUGGUUGCUACAUCUCAGACAGGGGCCACCACCCAAGGAGCUGGUGGAUCCCAGAGAACAGCUGAGUCCCUUGUCCUGGAAUCAACUUAUUCUUCACGGCAACAGUAAUACAAACCUACAAAAGGAGAUUUGCAGAGAGCUUGAGGAAUUGGACACAUGGUAAGGAAUCUGAUAAACUGGCUAAGUCUCAUAAAUACAAAGCGGGAGCAAAGAAGAGCUUCCACGUUAUUAUUACAGGUUGAAAGUUCAGUAAAUAAGCGUCCCAUGAGUCACGGUCAUAAUUUGGAUUAGAACUCAAAACUCCUCAUUCCUAGCCCGAUGACAAAUCAUAGGAAUGGAGGACGUCUGCACUGGGGCUGACAAAUUCUUCCAUGAUGCAAUCGCCCCAGGAAGUGAUCUCCAGCAGGCCACUUCUGUGGUGCUGUUGAACUGUUAUCUCCCCCUGUAAAGAAAAGGUACUUUUUGUCAGCAUGUUUUAUCGCAGCAGCAGAAAUGAAACGAAGAACACGGUAUUCUCUACAUUUGCAUUUUGUGAAGACCCACUCAAAGGCACUGCAGAGUCUGCCAAUCAUGGAAGGAGAAAGAUAGCUUUGGUUAUGGUCGAAGGGAAGCCAACGUCACUCGGGUAUUUCUGCAACUGAGAAUGAAUGAGGAGCCACUGUAACAGGUGCAGUUCUAGACACGGUGACUCAAGGCCACGCAGUACUCCUCAUGACCAGUUGUGUUCCAUCCUCAGCUGUCUGCCUCACCAGUGCAUUACAUCUGUGUCUGCCGUGUUUGAAGCAUCCUUUCUCCUUCACUAUACAUGGAUAAUUCCUACUCCUCAGUAAAGUUGAAGUCUUCUGUGAAUUCUUGGGCUACUCUGAGUAGCAAUUCAUGUGCCCGCCGCACUUUAUGGUCCACUAUUGAAUUUCCUGCACUGUAAUGGGAUUGUCUUUUAAUCAGCCUGUUUCCAGUGGGGCUCAUCAGUGUGUCCCCCCAACCCAACUCCUGGAUCAGUGCCCAGCGCCUAAUGCAUAAUGAGGAAAAAUGAGAGCUGAAAACCUUCACUGCAAAGGAAAUUAAGACUAAGAAAACAGGUGCCAAUCACAUUAACUCUCAGCAUCACCCCAGUGAAUUGGCUGGCUCACUGAGGAUCAGGUAGUGGCUGGUCAUUCUGCCCUUCUGCAAGGCCAAGUGCACACCGUGUGCCCCUUAAAUGUCUGCUGGGCUGACCAGUUUGGAGUCCUGACUUUCCUAUGUUUGGUAGCGUUGCAGCCUACCUUACACAUUCUUACUCCUAAGUUGUUUUCGAUGCACUGAGUUUAGAACUUCAUUUACAAGCUGAUCAAAGAAUAUUGGGGGUCUUGCAGAAUGCGGCCCUCUUCACAGCCAUGCCAUCUUGGGCAUGGAAGAUCCAGGACACAGUCUAGUAAACGAGAGAGAAAAGGCUCCAUGCAGUCUCCAUGAACGGCGUCCGACAAAGCCCUUAGAGCCACAGACAGGUGCCUUCACUAAGUCAUACCUGAAAAUCAGUCUGGCUCCUUCUGCUCCACAGUGAGUCCCUUGCCUGGGAUCCUGGACCCUAAGAAAAAACCAAAGGGCUCAGAAAGACCAAAAAGACUCUGAAGGAAAAAGACGAAAGACACGGAAUGAGAACAGGACGCUCCCAGGUAACAACUCGUCAAGCAUAAACUUGGUUCGUUCUUAUUGUCUGGAAACCCCAAGUGUAUUUACAAGUGGUUGGUUGGUUGGUUUAUUAGGAACAUAGGUAGGUAGAUAUGUAGUUGGACUUGUUUGUUUUGUGGUACUUGGGGAUCUAACCCAGGCCCUCACAUGUACUAGGUAAAUGUUUUACCACAGGCUGCACCGCAGCUCACAUUCAUUAUUUUUUAAUACAAAGUUUCUACCUUAACACCCUUCAAGGUGUAAGGAGUAUGC